CCUACGUGUGGCAGCAGUGGGGAAUAUUGCACAAUGGGGGAAACCCUGAUGCAGCGACGCCGCGUGAGUGAAGAAGUAUUUCGGUAUGUAAAGCUCUAUCAGCAGGGAAGAAAAAAGACGUAACCUGACUAAGAAGCCCAGGCUAACUACGUGCCAGCAGCCGCGGGAAUACGUAGGGGGCAAGCGUUAUCCGGAUUUACUGGGUGUAAAGGGAGCGUAGACGGGGAAGCAAUUCUGAAGUGAAAGCCCGUGGCUUAACCACGGUAAUGCUUUGGAAACGGUUUGACUAGAGUGCUGGAGAGGUAAGUGGAAGUCCUAGUGUAGCGGUGAAAUGCGUAGAUAUUAGGAGGAACACCAGUGGCGAAGGCGGCUUACUGGACAGUAACUGACGUUGAGGCUCGAAAGCGUGGGGAGCGAACAGGAUUAGAUACCCGGGAAGUC
rnacentral:rRNA from 1 species